GAGGUGUGGCUAGUGCUGCAUAAACAGAAAGUGAUUUAACUCCUAAAUGGCAGUGAAUUGAGCAGUGAAAUUGCCAUGAAGGGAGGUGUGAACCAUAACAAUCAGGUUUAACCUUGGAUCAACAAGCUAUUAACCAUAAUAUUAAAGGAACACUAUAGUCACCUAAAUUACUUUAGCUAAAUAAAGCAGUUUUAGUGUAUAGAUCAUUCCCCUG